UUAGUUCGUGAAAAUCAGAGAGCGUCGUCCAGUAUAAAAUUCGGGGUGGUCCCUGUUUGGUUUAGUCACCAGAUACAUGUGCCGAAACCAGAUUACCAAGAGCUGCAUGAUAUCUACAUCAAACGCUUGGUCGAUGAAGGGUGUACUAACCUCUUAGUUCCCAUUGUCCAGGGCGAUCAUUGGCAUCUUCUGGAGUUUGAUGUCGAAAAUGAUAUUGCCAGGCAUUACGACUCCUUGAAGGAGAGAUCUGGACAUUGGGACCCUGUGCUCAAUAUCGUCAAAGCCUUCAACUACAUUAAAGCUGGCUUCAAUGAGAACCAAUUGCGCAGCGUAUUCGACCCAAUCAAAGUUCCAUGCGAGGAGCAAAAAGGAUCGUAUGACUGUGGGAUCUAUGUCUACCAGUUCGUACAAGCGAUUACCGAAGGUAGAGAUGUCCUGCACGUCACGCCCGAAGAGCAUAACACAUGGGUGGUUCGUGCGAAGCUAGCAGCGUACUUACUGAUUGAAGGCAGGAAGAGGAAAAAAGAGGUGGGAAAACUUGACGAUG